UUUUUUUUUUUUUUUUUUUUUUUUUUUUUUAGUUUUAAGAGUAAUUUAUUUUACUUACAUGAGUACACUGUCACUGUCUUCAGACACACAGAAGAGGGAAUCAGAUCCCAUUACAGAUGGUUGGGAGCCACCAUGUGGUUGGUGGUAGGAAUUGAAUUCAGGACCUCCGGAAAAGCAGUCAGUGGCUCUUAUCUGCUAAGUCAUCUCUCCGCCCCCUGACAUAAAUUUUGAGGACAAGCUUUUAGAUGUAUCUCAGUGAUGGGAUUAUACUGUUUUAUUUAUUUUUUUGUUUUCUCUUCAUCAUAUAGUAGCUACAUGCAACCAUAAAUCAUAAUAUUGAUUUCAUUGCUGUGUGGGGACUUAGCUUCUGAUGGCCAAUUUUGGAGAAUAACUGAAUUCUAUUCUGUAUAGAGAAUGAGGGUAUUCAGGUAAAAUAGACAACACUGUUCAUCCUACUGUUUUGCCUUGCUGUUAAGGAAGCAUGGACCUGGAAAGGUCAGUUUAAUCUUGUUGCCUCAUCUUAUGAAGUUCCAACACCAAUCCAAUGCUGAAUAGUUACAUUUGUCUCUUUGAAACAGGAUUUAUUUGGCUCAUCCUCAAAUUCAUCAUGUAUUUGAGGAUGGCCUUGAGUCUUCUCACCCUUGCCUACACCACCUCAGUCCUGUGCUCAGUUUAUGUUACUGGUAAUUGAACCCAGAACCAUGUGUGUGUGCUUGGCAAGCACUUACCAAUUGGGCCACAUGCCUAGAUGCAUUCUUAGUUAUAAGCAAGAAAAAGCAUUAGCAGGAUAGUGUUUAUAUAAACAUUGAUCUGUUGCCACCAGCUGAAGAACAUACCAUCAAGAUUUGGUCAUCUCAGAUUCUUGAAAAUGCUCACUUGCAGUGUUUGUAGACUGUCUCUUUACUAUGUGUUUUUGGAAGAGCUGCUAGGAUAUGUUGCUGCUUUGACAACAGAUAAGUAUUUGUAAUUGUUAACUGUUGGCAGAGCAGGAGUGCAUUCAGGCUUUCUAAUUCUCUGUUGAAGUUCUGCAUACAACUAAUCAGGAAUAGAUCCACUAUCACAGUAUCAUCUCUUAACAGGAAUUCUGGGGACCCCAUUGCCUUUGAGAAAUGAUACCAACAUUCUCACUCCCUGUGUUCUGACCAUGCUUUCACUGCUCUUCUGCAUGAUCCUCACUCCACUCUCCGAGACUCUUUAGAGUGAUGUUAGAUGGCAAGCCUUCACUAAUAUUGCCUCAGUGAUGGAUACUUCUUUAAUUAACCCAAGGUUUAACUGAGUACAGGUUAAAUAUUUUCGACUGGAGAAUUCCCUCUUGUCUUGAUUGAAGUAGCUGUACCAGAUGGCAGAGGAAAACUAUCUUUUACGACACGAAGCUUGCACGGCAGUAAUGGCUUUUGCUGCAUCUGUAUCUACAGUUUUGUUGGGCCAUCAUUGGGAAUUGAACCUGGAUCCAGUUGUAGUAUGUGAACAUUUUAACAGCCCAUAAUGAGUCCCCAGAAUAUCAAGAUGCCACCUUUCAACAGUAGGCACACUGUAUACAGAAGAGUCAGCAUCUCAUGGAACUGUUCACCUUUUUAAUUGGAUCCCAACCAUGGUUGCUGUCAUCUGAGGAUUUAAAAACUCAAAUUUGACCAAAUUGGGGUGUGUGUGUGUGUGUGUGUGUGUGUGUGUGUGUGUGUGUGUGUGUGUAGCAUGCACACACACUAACACACAGUUACAAGUUUCUCAGAAAGAAAAAAUUAUUAAGGGACAUAACUGGUCUCUUGUUAGAGUCAAACAGGUUAAGAAUGUAGAUGAGAGUCUUGCUGAGGUCCUCAUUAGCUAAGUUUAGACCCUGGGUACUGACUUGGAUCUGCUUGCGUCUAUGUUCCAUAGAAGGUAGACAUACCAGUCUGUGUAGGGAAUCUGAAGGGCAACUGACAUGGUUAUCCAUGUUGAGAUCUGUAUACCCCAUGGACUUAUUCACCCUCUUUCUUCCUACUCUUUAGUUUUUCUUAGAAGAAAUCUACCCCUGUGUUAUAGCCACCUGCAAUUCUGAGAUUGCUCAGGUCAUGAGCUAAGGCUGAGCUAUCCCUACAUAGCUGGAAACAAACAAACAAACCCCAAAACUUUAGGACCUGUGCCAUUUGGUUAUUAGCUAUUAGAAAUAGAGGCACCUUCCGACUAAUCAUUUAAUGGCACCAUUGUAAUUUUCCUAUUAAGGUCUUUGUUUUCUGUGAACCUUGUGGCAGCUUUGGAGUUUAAUAUUUAGAGUUAGUAAAUACACAAAAGAGAUUGGUUAUUUCCUUCCUUCCUUUUGUG
ensembl:lncRNA